GCUAUGCUCUUCUAAUGGUUAGGAAACCAGUUUGUGGCUUAGUAAACAACUUGGAGACUAAGGUUCGAUUCCUUAAUAUGGUA